AUUGAACGCUGGCGGCAUGCCUUACACAUGCAAGUCGAACGGUAACAGGUCUUCGGAUGCUGACGAGUGGCGAACGGGUGAGUAAUACAUCGGAACGUGCCCGAUCGUGGGGGAUAACGGAGCGAAAGCUUUGCUAAUACCGCAUACGAUCUACGGAUGAAAGCAGGGGACCGCAAGGCCUUGCGCGGACGGAGCGGCCGAUGGCAGAUUAGGUAGUUGGUGGGAUAAAAGCUUACCAAGCCGACGAUCUGUAGCUGGUCUGAGAGGACGACCAGCCACACUGGGACUGAGACACGGCCCAGACUCCUACGGGAGGCAGCAGUGGGGAAUUUUGGACAAUGGGCGCAAGCCUGAUCCAGCCAUGCCGCGUGCAGGAUGAAGGCCUUCGGGUUGUAAACUGCUUUUGUACGGAACGAAAAGACUCUUUCUAAUAAAGAGGUCCAUGACGGUACCGUAAGAAUAAGCACCGGCUAACUACGUGCCAGCAGCCGCGGUAAACUCG
rnacentral:rRNA from 1 species